UGGGGAAUCUUGCACAAUGGGGGCAAACCUGAUGCAGCGACGCCGCGUGAGCGAUGAAGCCCUUCGGGGCGUAAAGCUCUUUCGACCGGAACGAUAAUGACGGUACCGGGAGAAGAAGCUGCGGCUAACUACGUGCCAGCAGCCGCGGUAAUACGUAGGCAGCAAGCGUUGUUCGGAGUUACUGGGCGUAAAGAGUGCGUAGGCGGUUUUCUAAGUUCGGUGUGAAAUCUCCCGGCUUAACUGGGAGGGUGCGCCGAAGACUGGGAAGCUGGAGUGUGGGAAAGGCAGGCGGAAUUCCUGGUGUAGCGGUGAAAUGCGUAGAUAUCAGGAGGAACACCGGCGGUGUAGACGGCUUGCUAGACCAUAACUGACGCUGGGGCACGAAAGCGUGGGUAGCAAACA
rnacentral:rRNA from 1 species